GGGCCGUUAGCUCAGCGGAAGAGCAUCUGCCUUACACGCAGGGGGUCACAGGUUCGAAUCCUGUACGGCCCA
rnacentral:tRNA from 1 species